GCUAUACAUGCAGUCGAACGCUUCUUUCCUCCCGAGUGCUUGCACUCAAUUGGAAAGAGGAGUGGCGGACGGGUGAGUAACACGUGGGUAACCUACCCAUCAGAGGGGGAUAACACUUGGAAACAGGUGCUAAUACCGCAUAACAGUUUAUGCCGCAUGGCAUAAGAGUGAAAGGCGCUUUCGGGUGUCGCUGAUGGAUGGACCCGCGGUGCAUUAGCUAGUUGGUGAGGUAACGGCUCACCAAGGCCACGAUGCAUAGCCGACCUGAGAGGGUGAUCGGCCACACUGGGACUGAGACACGGCCCAGACUCCUACGGGAGGCAGCAGUAGGGAAUCUUCGGCAAUGGACGAAAGUCUGACCGAGCAACGCCGCGUGAGUGAAGAAGGUUUUCGGAUCGUAAAACUCUGUUGUUAGAGAAGAACAAGGACGUUAGUAACUGAACGUCCCCUGACGGUAUCUAACCAGAAAGCCACGGCUAACUACGUGCCAGCAGCCGCGGUAAUACGUAGGUGGCAAGCGUUGUCCGGAUUUAUUGGGCGUAAAGCGAGCGCAGGCGGUUUCUUAAGUCUGAUGUGAAAGCCCCCGGCUCAACCGGGGAGGGUCAUUGGAAACUGGGAGACUUGAGUGCAGAAGAGGAGAGUGGAAUUCCAUGUGUAGCGGUGAAAUGCGUAGAUAUAUGGAGGAACACCAGUGGCGAAAGCGGCUCUCUGGUCUGUAACUGACGCUGAGGCUCGAAAGCGUGGGGAGCAAACAGAUUAGAUACCCUGGUAGUCCACGCCGUAACGAUGAGUGCUAGUGUUGGAGGGUUUCCGCCCUUCAGUGCUGCAGCAACGCAUUAAGCACUCCGCCUGGGGAGUACGACCGCAACGUUGAACUCAAGGAAUUGACGG
rnacentral:rRNA from 1 species